rnacentral:rRNA from 1 species
UACGUAGGGUGCAAGCGUUGUCCGGAAUUAUUGGGCGUAAAGAGCUCGUAGGCGGUCUGUCACGUCGGCUGUGAAAACCCGAGGCUCAACCUCGGGCCUGCAGUCGAUACGGGCAAACUAGAGUACGUGCAGGGGAGACUGGAAUUCCUGGUGAUAGCGGUGAAAUGCGCAGAUAUCAGGAGGAACACCGGUGGCGAAGGCGGGUCUCUGGGCAGUGAACU